GACGAACGCUGGCGGCGUGCUUAACACAUGCAAGUCGAACGGAAAGGCCCUGCUUUUGUGGGGUGCUCGAGUGGCGAACGGGUGAGUAACACGUGAGUAACCUGCCCUUGACUUUGGGAUAACUUCAGGAAACUGGGGCUAAUACCGGAUAGGAGCUCCUGCUGCAUGGUGGGGGUUGGAAAGUUUCGGCGGUUGGGGAUGGACUCGCGGCUUAUCAGCUUGUUGGUGGGGUAGUGGCUUACCAAGGCUUUGACGGGUAGCCGGCCUGAGAGGGUGACCGGCCACAUUGGGACUGAGAUACGGACCAGACUCCUACGGGAGGCAGCAGUGGGGAAUAUUACACAAUGGGCGGAAGCCUGAUGCAGCAACGCCGCGUGCGGGAUGACGGCCCUCGGGUUGUAAACCGAUUUCGCCUGUGACGAAGCGUGAGUGACGGUAAUGGGUAAAGAAGCACCGGCUAACUACGUG
rnacentral:rRNA from 1 species